rnacentral:lncRNA from 10 species
CACCUGAGAGCAGGAAGUCCUGCGUAGCUAAAAACUGAAUGUAGAUGUAGGGAAUUGCCCUCCUACGAACUAAGUAAAAACAGAUUCGAAACUUUAUCCUAAUUGGAAUUAAACUACUGCAUUUUAAGUCAAAGGUGUGGAGGUAAAUGAACAACCAAAUGAGACCAAGGAAAGGCUAUUAUUCAGAGCUUGCGAUAGCAAAGGAAUCCUCCACCCCACCACACCACUAGCAUUUUGACGGAAACAUAAAGGUAGGCAGAAAAAUGGGAAAACCUUAUAGUGGACAAAGGGAAGGGUUCAGAUAUGCUCUGACUGAAAGCUAAAAAUAAAGAGAUAGAAUAUGGACACUUGGGAAAUAAUAAGAAAAGUGAGACAGCACUGCUACUGAUUUAAAGUCAG